rnacentral:rRNA from 1 species
CCUUGAAAUACCACCCUUUAAUGGCUGGUGUUCUAACGUAGACCCGUAAUCCGGGUUGCGGACAGUGUCUGGUGGGUAGUUUGACUGGGGCGGUCUCCUCCCAAAGAGUAACGGAGGAGCACGAAGGUUAGCUAAUCCUGGUCGGACAUCAGGAGGUUAGUGCAAUGGCAUAAGCUAGCUUGACUGCGAGAGUGACGGCUCGAGCAGGUGCGAAAGCAGGUCAUAGUGAUCCGGUGGUUCUGAAUGGAAGGGCCAUCGCUCAACGGAUAAAAGGUACUCCGGGGAUAACAGGCUGAUACCGCCCAAGAGUUCAUAUCGACGGCGGUGUUUGGCACCUCGAUGUCGGCUCAUCACAUCCUGGGGCUGAAGUAGGUCCCAAGGGUAUGGCUGUUCGCCAUUUAAAGUGGUACGCGAGCUGGGUUUAGAACGUCGUGAGACAGUUCGGUCCCUAUCUGCCGUGGGCGCUGGAGAAUUGAGGGGGGCUGCUCCUAGUACGAGAGGACCGGAGUGGACGCAUCACUGGUGUUCGGGUUGUCAUGCCAAUGGCAUUGCCCGGUAGCUAAAUGCGGAAGAGAUAAGUGCUGAAAGCAUCUAAGCACGAAACUUGCCCCGAGAUGAGUUCUCCCUGACUCCUUGAGAGUCCUGAAGGAACGUUGAAGACUACGACGUUGAUAGGUCGGGUGUGUAAGCGCAGCGAUGCGUUGAGCUAACCGAUACUAAUGAACCGUGAGGCUUAACCUUACAACGCCGAAGGUGUUU